rnacentral:misc_RNA from 1 species
UCCGGCUUAUCACCGGCAGUUUCGUUAAAGUGCCCAGCCAAACCUGAUGGCAACUAACGAUAAGGGUUGCGCUCGUUGCGGGACUUAACCCAACAUCUCACGACACGAGCUGACGACAGCCAUGCAGCACCUGUGUGGACGCCAGCCAAACUGAAGAAGGUUAUCUCUAACCCUCAUACGUCCCAUGCAAAAGCUGGUAAGGUUUUGCGCGUAGCUUCGAAUUAAACCACAUACUCCACCGCUUGUGCGGGUCCCCGUCAAUUCCUUUGAGUUUUAAUCUUGCGACCGUACUCCCCAGGCGGAAUGCUUAAUGCGUUAGCGACGCCACUGAAGGUUGCCCCCCAACAGCUAGCAUUCAUCGUUUACAGCGUGGACUAC